ensembl:snoRNA small nucleolar RNA SNORA79
UGACGCCUGUUCCUCCUACUGCUCUGAGCUGUGGCCGUUGGGAUUUUAGGUCGUCACAGAGUGAUGAGGGUCUAUUUCACCCAGUGUUCAUUAGGCAGCAGCGCUGCUAUUAUCCCCACUGGACUUUGCGAGGCCCCACAUGU